rnacentral:tRNA from 1 species
GAAAUAUCCAUAAGAAGAAACUUCUAAUUUCAUAUCUUUAGCAUUUUUGUUAAUAUUUCU